UACGGAGGGUGCGAGCGUUAAUCGGAUUUACUGGGCGUAAAGCGUGCGCAGGCGGCCCGUUAAGACAGGUGUGAAAUCCCUGGGCUCAACCUAGGAAUUGCGCUUGUGACUGGCGGGCUCGAGUACGGUAGAGGGGGGUGGAAUUCCUGGUGUAGCAGUGAAAUGCGUAGAGAUCAGGAGGAACACCGAUGGCGAAGGCAGCCCCCUGGGCCUGCACUGACGCUGAGGCGCGAAAGCGUGGGGAGCAAACAGG
rnacentral:rRNA from 1 species